rnacentral:snRNA from 2 species
ACCACAUGCCAUGGCCAAAAAAAAAAAAAAAAAAAAAAGUGUAGCAUAGCAUCUGUUCUUAUCAGUUUAAUAUCUGAUACAACCUCUAUGAAAGGACAAUAGAUAAAAUGGAUUUUUGGAGCCGGGAGUAGCAAUAGGAGCCUGCUCUGUCCACUCCACAUAUUGACCUACUGUUGCAGCACCUCCAGGAUUGGCACACCCCCU